GAGGAGGAGGAGGAGGGACUUGGUGGAUGAUGAGUAGCCACACCGACAGCAGCAUCUCCGCUCUGUCGCCCUGCGCCUGUCAGCAGUCACUGGGAACCGGCCUGGACUCCGCCAGCUCCACUUCAUUAACAGUCCGGUGUUGCUCAGCUCGGAGCUCGGUGACCUACUUCGAGGCAAAAAGUUGCCGCCUCACAAACAAAGUGGUGAAGAUCGGUUUUGAACAUUUUUAUAUGAGCGCGUUUUACAGCUGAGGCGCGCGCGGAGGAGAGGACACAAAAGUAGAAACGCAUGGACACCAGAGGGACACCAGAGGGACACCAGAGGGACACCAGAGGGACACCAGAGGGACACCAGAGGGACACCAGAGGGAAGGAUUAGGGAGAAUCUGUGGAGUUGUAGUGACCGAUAGUUGCAGACCUGAGGUGUGAUGUGACCACAAUGAGUCUGGAGGCUGCAUUCCAGUCCACCAUGGAGGAGCACGAUCUGAAGACGGGCCUGUCUGUGUGGGCCAUCAUUGCCAUCGUUUGCAACUCUGCGGUGGGCGUCCUCAUCCUCAUCCUCUUCGUCAUCCUCUACAAGGCCUGCAAGGUGCCUUCGCACCAGGAGAAAGUGCCAGUUUUCAUACAAGUGCCAGAGAAGAAGAAGAAUGAGAAGAAGACGGCUGAGCAGAAAUACCUGCUGACUGCAGCCUGAAGCAUGGAGGAUACAGACUUGAGAUGUAGAUCUAACUCAACUCUGUCCAUCGAGGAGAGUCACUACAGAGUGUUAGGAGACUAGCUGAACUUCGAGUGAUCUUCUACAUUUCUCCUCCUCUUCAACUACUCAUGCAGUUAUUUUCCCUCACAUGAACAUACAUGUUCACAUUUCUCCACCAUCAGCGGAGCUCAGAGUGAGCUAACUGCAUUAAGAGUUGUAGCGAGGCCAACAACAACAACAAGAAGCGGGCCCAAUCCUCUUAUCUCUGCUGUGCGUCGCAGGGACUGUCCAUCUGUCAGUCUGUUUGCUUUUGCUCCACACAGGCAGACCAUGAUCUCCUCCUCUACUCCAUCCUUUUUCAUCCCUCCAUGCGACACAGGUGAGAGGAUGUGGAGGAGAAAGUGCAAAGACACAAUGGAUUGUAACAGGAGAGUUCAGGGUGACGGUGUUGGUUGAGAGUCACAAUAACUUGUUAGAGGUAAAGGGAAACAAGCGGCUCCGUGUUUACCCGCUGCAGCACUAAUGACGGCAACGGCAGAGCUGCCAAAACCAAAAGCCUGAAAGAGUCAGGAGAGGAGAAAGUGUGCGAGAGUCACAACAAUGCGGAGAGGGAGACAGACGGAGAUAAAGGACAGAUCUUUGGUGGGGAUGAUAAAGUGCAGGGGAAGAAUCGGAGAGAGGGGAUGCUUUGAUGUGUUGUUUACCGAGAGGCAGCUCGAGGCUCCGGUUUGACAGUCUCCCUAUUUGACACACACACGCUUCCACCGAUCCAACUCCCAUGGGAUUAAAAGCAGCAGCAAAAGUGUUACUCGUGUCCCAGAGUGCCUCACUUUCAUUUUUGUGAGCUCCUCUAAAAGCUAAGUAAGAUAUUUAUGCACAGCCUUCACCAGAAAUGACAAACUGACUGAACACUUGCACAAUGUCUCCCAGUAACGAGUGAAUACUGUGUUUAUUGGAGUGAAUGUGCUGCAGCUAACACUCUAACUGUGUGAUAUCAAUAAAGGGUGGAAGAGAGGCAAUGUGACAAGCCAGUCAUAAGUGGAAGAAAAAGUGCUUCACACCUCUAUAUUGUUUUUGUCUUGUAUAGUCAAUACAAUGUUUAUUAACGAAAGGGCUCUUCACAGACAUGUGCUAUCUAAUCUCAGGUCUGAGUUAAUUUAUACUAUAAUAACAAUAUGCUGAUUUGACUUUAUGUGCAGCUUUUUUAUUCUACUUCAUUUAUGUUUCUGUGCAACUUAUACUUAAUGAUGAACAGUAAUCUUUUUGCUGAAAUGAGUCGUUGUUUAAUAAUAUCAAGUUGCAGCUUCUUGUGUGAGCUUUACCCUUCAUAUUGAUGGAAAUUGAAUAACAUGUUUUUUUAAACUCGGACCCAAAAUAGAACUUUGAAGGCAUCACGUGGGACUUUGGCAACUUGCAGUGGUCAUUUCUCAAUAUAUUUUUUAUCUUUAUGGAUUAAAUGAUCAAUCAAAGACUAAUCAACCGAAGAACUGGUGUUGAAAAUAAUCAUUUGUUGCAGCCCUACACUUACUUUACAGAAUAGCUAUUGUUUCACUGUGGUAAUAGCUAUUGUGCUCUAUAUGACUUGUGGUACUGAUGACAGUUUAUUUUUGACUGACACAAUAAAAUGAUUUACUGUUGUUUAUAACAUA